CGGACGGGUGAGUAAUGUCUGGGAAACUGCCUGAUGGAGGGGGAUAACUACUGGAAACGGUAGCUAAUACCGCAUAAUGUCGCAAGACCAAAGAGGGGGACCUUCGGGCCUCUUGCCAUCAGAUGUGCCCAGAUGGGAUUAGCUUGUUGGUGGGGUAACGGCCCACCAAGGCGACGAUCCCUAGCUGGUCUGAGAGGAUGACCAGCCACACUGGAACUGAGACACGGUCCAG
rnacentral:rRNA from 1 species